rnacentral:pre_miRNA from 1 species
AUACAAAUUACCAGGGGAUCUUGCUAAAAUUCAGGUUCUGAUUCAGUAGAUCUGAGAUGGGGCCUGAGAUGUUGCAUUUCUAACAAGCUUCUAGGUGAUGCUAAU